UGCAUCCAAGAGGAUCCAUCUCUAAGACCCUCCAUGAGGACUGUGACACAGAUGCUUGAAGGAGUUGUUCAAGUUUCUGAGCCACCAUGUCCUUCCCCAUUUAAUUAGUUCAAUCUGCUGAAACUAUAUCCUUGUCAUAUCUCUAGUUGUAUUACUCUCUCUCUCUCUCUCUCUCUCUCUCCCCCGUGUGUGUGUAUAUAUAUGUGUGUGUGUGUGGUUGCCCGUGUGUAUUUGGAUAUAGAUUAGUUU
rnacentral:misc_RNA from 1 species